GGAAGUAAAAGUCGUAUCAAGGUUUCCGUAGGUGAACCUGCGGAAGGAUCAUUAAUGUGUUUGGGCCUCACGGCUCUUCAUUCCGACGCUGUGCGCCUUCGGGCUGCACGCUGAGGGAGCAUAUAUCCACCCCUGUGCACACACACGGUGGCGAGCUGGGUAACGGCUCGCCGCUGAUCUUUACACACGUCUAAAAGUCAUUGUAUGUUUAUUUGAGAUAAAAACACAACUUUCAGCAACGGAUCUCUUGGCUCUC
rnacentral:misc_RNA from 1 species